GUGAGGAAUAUUGCGCAAUGGAGGCAACUCUGACGCAGCCAUGCCGCGUGCAGGAAGAAGGCGCUACGCGUUGUAAACUGCUUUUAACCGGGAAGAAACCCCAGGACGUGUCCUGGGUUGACGGUACCGGAGGAAUAAGCACCGGCUAACUUCGUGCCAGCAGCCGCGGGAAUACGAAGGGUGCAAGCGUUAUCCGGAUUCAUUGGGUUUAAAGGGUGCGUAGGCGGAGCGUUAAGUCAGUGGUGAAAUCCUGCAGCUUAACUGUAGACUUGCCAUUGAUACUGGCGCUCUUGAGUGCGCUUGAAGUGGGCGGAAUGUGCCGUGUAGCGGUGAAAUGCUUAGAUAUGGCACAGAACACCAAUUGCGAAGGCAGCUCACUAAGGCGAUACUGACGCUGAGGCACGAAAGCGUGGGGAUCGAACAGGAUUAGAUACCCUUGUAGUCC
rnacentral:rRNA from 1 species